rnacentral:rRNA from 1 species
UACGUAGGGGGCAAGCGUUGUCCGGAAUCAUUGGGCGUAAAGAGCGCGUAGGCGGCCCUGUAAGUCCGCUGUGAAAGUCAAGGGCUCAACCCUUGAAUGCCGGUGGAUACUGCAGGGCUAGAGUCCGGAAGAGGCGAGUGGAAUUCCUGGUGUAGCGGUGAAAUGCGUAGAUAUCAAGAGGAACACCUGAGGCGAAGGCGGGUUGCUAGGCUGACACCGACGCUGAGUGCGCGAAAGCCAGGGGAGCAAACGGG